AGUCUGGAAUGGCCUCGUCCUGCCUCCCCCACCUUGAAGCCUCUGCUUUUCUCUUCCAGCAUCUGCGCUGCCUGAUUUGCUGAGCACCUACUAUGCAUCAGACGCUGUGUUCUAGGCAAGGGGGAUACACCUGAUGGAAGAAGGUCCUUCCCUAGACGUAGCUAACAUCCCAGUGUGGGAGAUGACACGAAACAUUGUCCCCACCCUGAAGAUCACCACUGAAACCUCUGGGACCCAUGUACAUGUGCAAGACAGAGUGAAUCUCACCUGCCACGUCCUCCACUUCUAUCCCGCCCACCUGCGACUCACCUGGAUGGAGAACAGGAGCAUGAUCCAGACCCUGGUGUCCCCUCGUCCCCUCAGGCCACCAGAAAUCCAGAUGGGACAUACUCUCUGGAGCACACGUGGCAGGCAGAGGCCACGCUGGAGGAGCGUGAGUUUGCUUGCUGGGUGGUCCACGAUGAGCAGCCCCCACUCAAGGCCAACGUCACCCUGCAAGCCCAGGUGCGCAGGCAGGGGAAAGUUUAUUUAAGUUCCUUAUAGAUUGUGGAUCUUCGACCUUUGUCGGAUGCGCGCUUUGCGAAUAUUUUCUCCCAUUUUGUGGGUCGUCUGUUGGCCGUGCUGAUCGUUUCUCUGGCCCGCCUUGCCGCCUGGAAUCUCUGCCUCCGUCUCUCGCUCACUCUUUGCGGCCUCAAACCGUUUUCUCCACAAGAGGGAGCUGUCGGCCGGCAGUUCAGACCCAGAGAGCGCGGGCGGCGCUCCUUCCGCCCGGCUGGGAUGAGCUCGGGAGAAUGAACUACCGGCCCAGAGGCUGGGAUGAGCUCGGGAGAAUGAACUACCGGCCCAGAGGCUGGGAUGAGCUCGGGAGAAUGAACUACCGGCCCAGAGGCUGGGAUGAGCUCGGGAGAAUGAAUUACUGGCCCAGAGUGGGCCGGCUGGGCGGUGGGGGCGCUCAGUGUCCGAGAGGGUGGGUGGAGGUCAUUAGGAUCGGCCGGGCCUUGUGAGCUAGGGGUAAGCCAGCCUAUGGACCCACAGCCCUCCAGAACCACGUGAAGUCAAAAAGGACAGUCCCCUGGGGGCAGUGAGGGUGGAUGCCUCGGAGUAUUACAGCGCAGGCCGCUGCCAGGGUAAGGGUGCCGGACCGGCAACAACAGCCCAUCUUCCCACCAGGGCCCUCCACCUCGCAUUCUCUCUCUCCCUGACGGAAUUGGCCUCUUAUCUGGCUGCUGUAAGAAUUCUUAAGAGGAAUGAUCCCACUCAGCUUUCAGUCUCCCCGUGCCUUUUUGUCUGUUGUCCAGCAGAGAGAAGAAAAACACUCACCCAGCAGGAUAUACAGGUCUGGCUGAAAAACUCAAAACUGGUCCUUUCUGAUCAGAAGCAAGUUACGAUACUUCUUUAUUGACUCAUGCUGGUUUUUUCUUCUUUUAUUUUUCUCUUUUGCCUGCAUGCGGUAUAUCUGGCCCACUGCUGCAACAUUAACCCCCUGGGAGCAUCCUUUUGAUUAUAUGGCUCCGCUAUGCAGCUUUGUGGGGCCCCGUGGUCUGCAGGGGGAAGGGCAGCCCCUUCCUUUUCUGGCAUUUAGGCCCCUUUCUAUUUGGUGUUAACAAAGCAUUGCAGCUAUCCUUCCCCAACCUGGCCCAUAAAUGCCUUCAUCAGCACCCUCACCUGUUACGAACUCCCCACUCUGUCUCUGUUCCUACUGGGUGACACCCGUAGAGCAUUUACUGCACACUAGGCAUCCUCAAAUACAUUAUCUGAUCCUACAACAGAGCCCAGAGCUAGCACAGGGACCAAGGUCUCAGAGGUUCCAAACAGCAUAGCUGGGGUUAGAAUGCAGGCGUGUCUGUUCAAAAAUUCAAUGUGUUUUUCUGCAUUUUUCUUUCCUAUCCUGCCCGAGAAUACAAAGCUUAGUGUUAUCUCAAGUCUCUUCUCAAAUCUCAAUUUUAAAUGCUCUAUUUCUGAUAUUUAUUUCUUCCUGAAUUGUGUGGUCUUAUCGGUCCAUACCAGUUAGUUCUCACAAUUAGUAUUUAAACUACAAGGGCGUUCCCAAAGUCCCCCGACCUGGGGUUUUAUUCCAUUUACACCCAUCUUCCGUGAUUAGACUCUCACAUCCUUGAAGCAGGGACUGGCUCUUAUGUUUCGAGGUGGCCAAACGUCGGAGUCAAACAGAUCAGUGUCCCCAGCCAUGUGACCUAAGACAAAACAACUCCCUUUCUUUUUUUGAGAUGGAGUUUUGCUCUUAUGGCCCAGGCUGGAGUGCAAUGGUGUGAUUUCAGUUCACUGCAAUCUCUGCCUCUCGGGUUCAAGUGAUUCUCCUGCCUCAGCUUCCCAAGUAGCUGGGAUUACAGGCACACACCACCAUGGCCAGCUAAUUUUGUAUUUUUAGUAGAGAUGGGGUUUCACCGUGUUGGUCAGGCUGGUCUCGAACUCCUGAACUCAGGUGAUCCACCUACCUCGGCCUCCCAAAGUGCUGGGUUACAGGCGUGAGCCACCACACCUGGCCGCAACUCCCUUUCUGAGUCAAGUUUUCCAUUGUUGUAAUGACAAUUGUUAUACCCACCUCAAAGAGCCCUGCUUAAGAUUCCUUUCCUUGACUCCUGCUUGGCAUCUGGACAAUGGGGCCCAUAGCAAGUUCUCUGCAGUGACUGUUUGCAGUUUCCACAGUGCCUAGCCCAGAGCUGAGCUGCAAGUAGGACAAUAUUAAAGGUCAUUGGUUAAUAUAGAGCCAACUGUGCAGAAGUAGAGGCAGCUAUGAUGUAACAGAAAAAGGCCUUGGCUUGGAGUCAGAAUUCCUGGGUUACAAUGUCAGUUCUGUUCACUGUGAGGCCCUUGGAUGAGUCACUAACCCUCCCUGAGCCUUUUCUUUAUCUGUUAAUAUUAAAAAUAUGAUUAAUAAUAAUUCCUUGGAUGGUCAUUGUGAGUAUAUGGUGCGGAGGGCUACCGUUUAUAUAGUGAUUACUGUGUGCUACAUAUUCUACACUAGUUACAUCACUUAAUUUAUUAAUUAACUCUGAGAGAAAUGCAAAUCAAAACCACAAUUAGAUACCAUCUCACACCAGUCAGAAUGGCAAGUAUUAAAAACUCAAGAAAUGACAGAUGCUGGCAAGGCUGUGGAGCAAUAGGAACGCUUUUACACUGUUGGUGGCAAUGUAAAUUAGUUCAACCAUUGUGGAAGACAGUGUGGUGAUUCCUCAAGGAUCUAGAACCAGAAAUACCAUUUGACCCAGCGAUCCCAUUACUGGGUACAUACCCAAAGGAAUAUAAAUCAUUCUAUUACAAAGAUACAUACAUGCGUAUGUUCAUUGCAGCACUACUCACAAUAGCAAAGCAGUAAAAUAAAUUCCUUGACAUGGAAUCAAUCCAAAUGUCCAUUGGUGAUAGACUGGAUAAAUAAAAUGUGGUACAUAUACCCCACGGAAUACUACGCAGCCAUAAAAAGGAAUGAGAUUGUGUCCUUUGCAGGGAUGUGGAUAAAGCUGGAAGCCAUCAUCCUCAGCAAACUAAUGCAGGAAGAGAAACUCAAACACUACGUGUUCUCACUCAUAAGUGGGAGCUGAACAAUGAGAACACAUGGACACACGGAGGAGAACAACACACACCGAGGCCUGUUGCAGCAGGCCAGAGUGUCCAGCCUUACAAGUUGCAAGGCCCCCUUCAGCGAUCUGAGCCUGGCACAAGGAUCCGAUUGACCUAUGCAUCCUCUGGGUUCUCGACACACCAGGUUACUGUGACCUGGCUUAAAAACAAACACGAGCUCCCAAACCCCCAGACCAGCGUCCAGUACAGUGGACACACCUACAAUGUGACCAGCAGUGUGCUUGUCCCGCUGAUGGAUGAUGAUGUGUUCUCCCACGUCGUUUGCCAUGUGGAGCACAAGUUGACGUGGUUUUUCCAGAAAACCACUGGCCUGGACCAGUACCUCCAGGUUCCCCCUACAGUGACAGUGUCCCAGUCUUCCACCUCCUCCAGCUUGGUGGCUGUUACUUGCCUCGUGCAGAGAUUCUAUCCACAAAACGUGCACCUUGCCUGGCUAGAGGACUGCCAUACACUCAAAGGCACUGAGCAACCCACAUUAAAGAAGAAUAAUGAUAGGUCCUACACCCUGGAAAAGCUGCUGCUGGUGAAUGCAUCAGUGCAGGGGCCUGAGCGGGUGCUCACCUGCAUGAUGGAACAUGAGGGACAGCCUCCCAAACGGGCUAACCUCGUACUGUCCACAGCAGCCCACACCGCUUAUAAGCCCAUUGGGAGCACAGCCCCUGCAUGCCCUGUGAUACAUUACCUCCAGCCCUCUCCAAGGGGUUCAAGUGGGGAGAGGCUGCAAGGACUUAUAGGUCACUAAAGACCCCUUUAUUCCGUCCCUGCCACCCCCAUCGCGGACACGCUCCCUUCCGCACACCCUCCUGGUGUUCCUUCCCUCAGAGCUUUGGAGCUGAGUCAGGGACGAGUUUUCUUCAUGAGGACUCCAGGGAUGUCUUGACCCUGAUGUACUGAGCUUCAGAUUGGCCCUGCUUCCAACCAAGAGAAUUAAACUGCUCAAGAAAAGAAGUUUCCAUUCUGCCCCUGGUCAUGAACAAUCCUUAAUUUUCAGAGCAGUUUUUACUUUUGUGCGGGGCUUUUGAAAAUAUGAUUUCAUUUUAACACACAUAUAUUUUGAAAUCACUGGGAAGUUGCAUAAGCAUUUUUCUCUUCUGAAAUGUACAGAAAAAAUACAAACAAUACCCAUGGACCUAACAUCCUAUCUUUUAAAAACAGUAACAUUUGCCAUUAUGAUCUUCAGUUCUUUAAAAACAAAAAACAAAAAACAAAACACUGUUCUGAAUUUAUCAUUCUCAAGCAUGGUUUUAUAACUUUAUAACAUAUGUAUGAAUCCUUAAGCAAUGUAUAGUAUUACUUUUCAUAUUUUAACAUUAUAUAGAUGCUUUGACACUGUACACAGCAAUCUGGAACUUUAUUUUUUAUGCUUAACACAGUUUGUGAGGUUUAUUUCUGUUGAUAUAUGGAGCUACAUUUUAUUAAUUUUCCACUGUUCUGUGGUCUUCUAUUGUAAGAAUAUGCCACAAUUUAUCAAUUCUUCUCAAGACAGAUUUUGAAGCUUCAUUCAGUGUUUUGCUAGUACAACUUUGCAACAAACAUUCUUUUAUUUGUUUCCCUGGGCAUGUGUGGGAGAGUCUGCCUUGUUCCUCUAGCUUGGUGCACAAAGCUGCAGUAUUGGUAUGAUUUGGGAGCUUUUGUUACACAAAAAAAAUUUCCAAUUGUUGCUUAAGUUUUACUCUUUCCAUUUAUCCCUUUCAUCUCGCUAUAUAUA
rnacentral:lncRNA from 1 species